UUUUAAAUGAUGAUUGAAACUGACAGAAAUCCCUUUACUCCUUCACAAAUGAAACACUGCAGUCUGACAAAA
ensembl:snoRNA